AGUGAACGCUGGCGGCAGGCCUAACACAUGCAAGUCGAACGGCAGCACAGGAGAGCUUGCUCUCUGGGUGGCGAGUGGCGGACGGGGGAGGAAUAUAUCGGAAUCUACACUUUCGUGGGGGAUAACGUAGGGAAACUUACGCUAAUACCGCAUACGAACUGAGGUUGAAAGCGGCGGACCGCAAGGCGUCGCGCGGAUGGAUGAACCGAUAUCCGAUUAGCUCGGUGGCGGGGUAAAGGCCCACCAAGGCGAAGAUCGGUAGCUGGUAUGAGAGUGUGAUCAGCCACACUGGAGCUGGGACACGGUCCAGACUCCUACGGGAGGCAGCAGUGGCGAAUAUUGGACAAUGGGCGCAAGCCUGAUCCAGCCAUGCCGCGUGUGUGAAGAAGGCCUUCGGGUUGUAAAGCACUUUUGUUGGGAAAGAAAAGCGGUCGGUUAAUACCCGGUCGUUCUGACGGUACCCAAAGAAUAAGCACCGGCUAACUUCGUGCCAGCCGCCGCAGUAACAC
rnacentral:rRNA from 1 species